AAACUGAGGUAGACAAAUAUUAUGCAAAUUAUUUCACGGUACAGAGCUAGCAGGUGGCAAAAUAAAGAUUUAAACCAUGGAGGACUGGCUUCAGAAUCCAUGUAUGUAAUACUCAUUUAGGCUGCAUUGCUUGAAUUUUUGUUUCAGUUUAUAUUUAACCAAAUAUAAAAAGUUCAUAAGGAACUUUUUUGCUUUACAUAUCAUCUUGUAUUUUGACUAUAUUUUUCAUCAACAAGAUGAAAACUUCAAAGGAAUGGUCGUCUGGUUUACAGCCAGUUCAUCUUCAAUUCUCCCAAGCCAAAUGAAAUAAUUCUUACAUUGCACAAGUUUUUAAAAAUGCAAAUCCUUCCAGACAAGUGAGGGUAAAUUUAUCUUGCAGGCAAAGCAGACAUGCAUUGGCUUUGAUCCUUUGAAGAAAAUAUUGAAGACAAAAAAUUACAAGUAAAGCAAUGAAGGAUUUGGAAAGUGGGCUUUAUUCGACAUGGAUAGAGAUAAACAAAAUGGUAGCAUGAUCCUGGGGAGGCCUACCUCAUUCAUUUCCCUCUUUCUCACUUCAUGAUUUUAAAAUUCAUUUUCCAAGUUGAUUUUUCUAUUUGUCUUCCAUAACCAUUUCUUUACAACAUUAAUAUUGAGCUAGACUUGAAGGUACACAUUGUCGGAAGACCUAGAAGAUUGUUGGAAACCAUCUACAUAAAGGAAUAUAAUAAAUUGCAGUAGAAGGUAAAAAUAAACUUUGCGUGUUAUUCUUUUUGCAUUAUAUAGAUGAUAACAAAUAAAACAUAACAGCACUAUUGAAUACAUGGGGAAUAUCCUCUUAUAUAUUCUUUCACUGAAAUUAAAAAGAUCAUCCUUCAGAGUAAUUGAGCUCUUCUCACUGAAAAUGGAUGUUGUUAUUUAUAAAUAUGCAGAAUAACCUCUGAAAAUAAUUCUUAGAAAUACUGUAUGUCAACAUAUGUCAAAGGACCUUGAUAUGGUUUGGCUGUGUCCCCACCCAAAUCUCAUCAUGAAUUGUAGUUCCCAUAAUCUCCAGGUGUUGUAGGAGUUCAUUGAAUCAUG
rnacentral:lncRNA from 10 species